GCUGCGCACUUCGGUCUUUUACGUCGGCCUUCGCGAGCGUCUGGGCGGGUGGUAGGAACAAUGGCGCUGUCUUCAGUGGCACAGUGGAGCAGCUCUGAAGAUGCAAAGUGAGGGUCGCUGUCUGCCCAUUGAUAGAGGCCAGAUUGUCUUGGAAGUUCCAAAGUUGCAACGAUUUCUGGCUAGUGCCACGAGGUUUACUUGACUGUUGUGUGAAAAGCUGAUAAGAAAACCAUCCAGAAAAAAGCUCUUCGUUUUACAAACAUGAAAAUAAAACAUUUAGUUGAAUCCAUGGACAUGAAACCCACAGAUAUAGAGGGUUGGCCCGGUGCAGUGGCUCACGCCUGUAAUCCCAGCACUUUGGGAGGCCAAGGCGGGUGGAUCACCUGAGGUCAGAAGCUUGAGACCAGCCUGGCCAACAUGGUAAAACCCCAUCUCUACUAAUAAUACAAAACAAUUUGCUGGGCAUGGUGGUGCACGCUUGUAAUCCAAGCUACUCCAGAGGCUGAGGCAGAAGAAUCGCUUGAAUCCGAGAGGCAAAGGUUGCAGUGAGCCCAGAUCACACCACUGCUCUCCAACCUGGGCAACAAGAGCAAAACUCCGUCAAAAAAAAAA
rnacentral:lncRNA from 1 species